rnacentral:rRNA from 1 species
CCUACGGGAGGCAGCAGUGAGGAAUAUUGGUCAAUGGGCGUAAGCCUGAACCAGCCAAGUCGCGUGAGGGAUGAAGGUUCUAUGGAUCGUAAACCUCUUUUAUAAGGGAAUAAAGUGCGGGACGUAUCCUGUUUUGUAUGUACCUUAUGAAUAAGGAUCGGCUAACUCCGUGCCAGCAGCCGCGGUAAUACGGAGGAUCCGAGCGUUAUCCGGAUUUAUUGGGUUUAAAGGGUGCGUAGGCGGCCUUUUAAGUCAGUGGUGAAAGUCUGCGGCUCAACCAUAGAAUUGCAGUUGAUACUGGGAGGCUUGAGUAUGUUUGAGGCAGGCGGAAUGCGUGGUGUAGCGGUGAAAUGCUUAGAUAUCACGCAGAACCCCGAUUGCGAAGGCAGCCUGCCAAGCCAUGACUGACGCUGAUGCACGAAAGCGUGGGGAUCAAACAGGAUGAGAUACCCUUGUAGUC